rnacentral:rRNA from 1 species
UGGGGGAUAUUGCACAAUGGGCGAAAGCCUGAUGCAGCGACGCCGCGUGGGGGAUGAAGGCUUUCGGGUUGUAAACCUCUUUCGCUAUCGAACAAGGCCCGCUUAGGGUGGGUUGAGGGUAGGUGGAGAAGAAGCGCCGGCUAACUACGUGCCAGCAGCCGCGGUAAUACGUAGGGCGCGGGCGUUGUCCGGAAUUAUUGGGCGUAAAGGGCUUGUAGGCGGCUUGUUGCGCCUGCUGUGAAAACGCGGGGCUUAACUUCGCGCGUGCAGUGGGUACGGGCAGGCUUGAGUGUGGUAGGGGUGACUGGAAUUCCAGGUGUAGCGGUGGAAUGCGCAGAUAUCUGGAGGAACACCGAUGGCGAAGGCAGGUCACUGGGCCAUUACUGACGCUGAGGAGCGAAAGCAUGGGUAGCGAACAGG